AGAUGCACCCAGGAGGGAGUGAAUGCUCGCCCCCCCACCGUUGCUGUCCCCACCCUGAGCCCCAUGCACUCACAGAGACCAGCAGAAUGGUCUGUUGCUUGCCUCUUAGGCAAAGAGAAUUCUUGUGGCAUUAGACGUUAUUAACCGCAAAUGCACCCACUUGUGUAGUUCCCCCCUUAGGGGUAACCGUCACUCUAUGGCCGCCACCGCCAGAUAACCAAUGCCUGCUUUCCGUAUGGUUCGGUUCUGAGUAUCAAGGCGAGUGGUGGACUUGGGAAAACCAGACCCGAAGGAGACGCUUCGCAGUGUCCUUGGCAAGGAGUCAAGGGAAGCCCAUGAGGUCCUGCCUCCAAAUACCAAGCUUGUAGCCACCUCGAUCGGAUCUUGGAUGCCUCCUCCCCCAAAACAGAUCUCGCAUAAGGGCCUGGGAUUAACAAGGGGUUCAGAGUCCCCUUCCUUGGCAUAGAUGACCACACACCCACCCAUCGAACUUUCCUACAUGAAGUGCCUGGGCCCAGACACCCCUAGCCCAGACCGUGAUCUGUGAGGCCCGACACUCUUGGUGCUGGCACCGAGUGGGUGAGGCAGUUCCCUCUCUUUGGCGAAUGGGGAAGCUCCUGGCUUGAUUCCCUGCGUGGUCUCGGGGUCCACAGGCCGUGACCAAGGAGAGAAGAGAGUCUGGCCCUGCCUCGGGGAGGAGGGCCAGCGUGCAGAUUUAUGACCCUACCCUGUCCCUGCGCACCAAAAGCAACUCAAGCCAGACAGUGGAAUGUAAGACCCGACCCGGGCCAGAGGAGGAGGCCAGGGUCGGAGGCGGGGCUGAGAGGAGCAGAAAUUCGAAGUGGCCGGGUGCCACCGCCCCGGGGUUACCGGUUGCUCGUUGGGGUCCGGAUGCUGUGCGUGGCUCUGGCACCACAUCUUUGGUUCUGCUGGUGGGCCUGGGUUGCCCUUGGAUGAACCUCUUCAGGAUUCCCACCUUCUGAUGGGCCAACCGCAGCGAGAGACUGCGAGCGUGGCUGGGCCCAGCCUGGCCUCUCCGGGUUUUAGCGGCGCCCGGGCCGGGAGCUGUAGGGUAGCCGGAUUUAGGAUCUACGGAAACGCUCGCUUUAGACUCUACUAUGGCAUCUCCACGGGAGGCACAACUCAGCUUUCUCUUGGGAUCCCCUUUACUUAAGUCUCCAGUGGAGUUCACUCCUUGGGAGAGCUGGUUUGGGGCAACCGAUACAGGGUGGUUUGGAUGUCCUCCCUUAGGAAUGGAAACUAGCUUUGUUUCUUUUUCCUUCUUCCCCUGAUGAAGGAGUAUGGUGGAAACCUGUUCACAGCGCUAGCAACAUCGGGGGUGUGGAUGAUGAUGAGGUCAACCUUUCGUGGGGCAUAAGUGAGGGAAGGAAACGCGGGGUUCCCUGGAGCUGGACAAAGGCGCACCGCAGGGGAGGCAGCCGCGCUCAAGGUUGGCCUGUCCUCUGAUUUUACAACAAAGAGCUUUGAGUUUUGUCCGUGGGGACUCGUUCAGACCGGGACUAGGGACCUGGAAGAACACACUAGAAGGCUCAGGAGUGGCCGGGGACGACCACGCCGGACCAGACAGGCCAGCUCGAGUGGGUUGUCCGGGAACUGCGUCCUGGGACUACAUGGAGGCCCCCCCCCCCAGCUGAUUUUCCAUCCAGUCAGUACAACACACACACUGCGUCAACACAGUUUUUCUGGCCACGGAUCCUGACGGGACGAGCACACCCGGCUUUUGUAGUUAAGAGCGUCUCUGCCCCGGCUGUAGGUCGUUUCCCCAGACCCAGAGGCUCUCGGAAGUGGUGUGGUGUUGGUGCAACCUCUGCUUCUCUGCAAGUCCCCACGCCCCAACAUGGCUCCCAACCGCUGUUACAUGUAGGGGGACACAGGGGCGUGGAGACCAGGGCCCUCGCCUGCCCACCGCACACUUAUACUUGGCAGACUGGAGAGACGCAGGAGGGACCCAGCCUGCGUUCCCCUGCUUGGGCGCUGGGAAUCCGGUGCCACCGGUUCCCCAGGUUCAGCGCACCGGUGGCCCGAGAGCCGAGUGGCAGGCCGAGAGGGGACCCAGAACGCCGCACAUUCCAGGGGGGAGCGGGCCACGUUCCACACCAACCACGGCCCUAAUGAAACUGGGUCGGUACGCCACGCAGACAGGGCGCACACUUGAAAAAUGCAAACGCCACCGGCAAAUCCCAGGCAAAUUGGAAUAAUUUUUUAUUAGCAGCUAAAUGAUUUAUGGCACAAUACCCCGCCGUCACAAUUACGGCGUCUUGGAGCAUCCAGGGGUGAAAACAUUAAACAUUUAUAAAAACAGGCCUUUGUUUUUUUCUAUCCCCGCAAGCCUUUUGCACAAUCCCCCAUCCCAUUUCUCUCAAGAUACAUAUUUUUUUUGAGCUGUAUUAAAAUAAGGAAAACAUUCUGGAUCCCGGGAGGGAUGAGGGGGUUGGGGGAGAUCAGGGCCUGCGCUCUGAAUAUUGGAGGGCGAUGGGGGGGUGGGGGAAAGCGGUGGGACUGAGGCGUGGGAGGGUUUAACUGGGAACCCACAAAGGCCUCUGGAUAAGGCUCAAGGGCACUAAGCGCUCCCCACCCCCUCAGCCCGUUCCUCUCUUGUUUCCAGCAGCCCGCGCAGCUUAACGGCAUUUAUUUUAUUUCUUGCAAUCAACCCCCCUCCCCUAAGGCACAUAGACACAAUACCUCCUUUCUCUAACCCCCCUCUCUCCGUCUUUGCUCCUGGCCGUCCCCGGGCAGCACCGGACGCCUCGGGUCGCCCCUGGCUGCCACUGAGACCCGCACGCCCAGCUCCAAGCGCGCGGACACCGCCGCUCAGUUCCCCUCGGCUCGGGCUAUUUUCGUUCUUUUCUCUCCUUCUCACUCCUCCCUCCUCCCCCCACCGAGCUCCAGCUUCCAAAAGAGGGCAGCCUAGAAACCAGCGCAGGAAGCUCCAGGAAGGGCAACUUGAAACUGCCCUCAAGAGGCCGAAUUUUUU
ensembl:lncRNA